rnacentral:tRNA from 1 species
GUCGGGAUGCCCGAGUGGUCUAAGGGGGACGACUUAAGAUCGUCUGGCGCAAGUCUCGCGGGUUCGAACCCCGCUCCCGACA